rnacentral:tRNA from 1 species
GGAGAAGUGGCAGAGUUGGUCGAUUGCGUCUGAUUUGAAAUCAGAAGAGCCGCAAGGUUCCGUGGGUUCGAAUCCUACCUUCUCCG